rnacentral:lncRNA from 1 species
UCAUUGUCUGUUGCCUGGCCUGAGCCAGCGCAGGAUCUGGGGAGAGGAGCGCAGGGGAGGGAGAUGGCCUAGGAGGACAUCAGGACGGAGCAGACACAGCACCUCGCUCCGGCAGCCAGCAAAAGCUCCCCCUGCUGUGGCUGUGACCUCCCAGAGGGGUGAGUGCUGAUGCUCUCCCUGGCAUGGCACAGAACUCUAGACCGACCACCACAUGCAAAAAAAACCCCAAACAAACCCCACCAAACCAACCCCAAAACCAUAAUUCAUGGCAUCAAGAUCCAAAGGGGGGAAUAAAAAGACAGGCCUGAUGCAGGGAGGGGAGUGAUUUGGCUCCCAGCCCUGGCUCCAGGCUGGCUCAUGCUCCGAGGAACCAGCAGCCACCAGAAAGCGCCCUGCUGCACCUCUGCCCACCCCACUGCCCAUGCUGGAGCAAGACCCCUCGCAGGGUGGAGGGGAACAUGCCCCUUGGGAGCGGCGUGUAACUGCCUGUGCCUAAAGGUCUGGGGCAUCCAGGGACGUGGAGCUAGCAGCAGACCAUGCACCGACUGUUACUCUGUUCUCACUGCUGGGAAUGGCACCACCUCCAGAGGAUCCCAGGCUCAGCUCCUUAGGAAGCGUCGGCACGCCAGCUCUGAGAGUCGGCAUCCCCUAGGGUUGAAUUGUUCUGCUCUACUGCCUCCAUCACAGCUGCUCUGCCAAGGGAAACAUUAUGCCCAUGGAUGCGAUCUCGUCAACUCCCUCAAAAGCAAGCUAACAAGCAAAUUGACCUCCACCGCACUGGGAGAGGAGCCUUCUCCCACAGGACCGGAGCCUUUCCACACACAAGGGAAGAGAGAUCCCAAGGACAGAACUGACCCUGCAAGACCCAUGGCCUCAUGGCCUCCCCUUCCUUCUUCCUUCUUCACCUCAUCUGUCUGUCUUGGGGGAGGGACAGUUUCUUUGUGGAGUUCAGCAAGCUCCUCUUCCUGCAGCUCAUAA